GGCUCAGUUGGUAGAGCAUGGUGCUUGAUACACCAGGGUUGCGGGUUCAAUUCCCAC
rnacentral:tRNA from 1 species